rnacentral:rRNA from 1 species
AUUGAACGCUGGAGGCAGGCCUAACACAUGCAAGUCGAACGAGUGGCGGACGGGUGAGUAAUGUCUGGGAAACUGCCCGAUGGAGGGGGAUAACUACUGGAAACGGUAGCUAAUACCGCAUACCAUCGGAUGUGCCCAGAUGGGAUUAGCUUGUAGGUGAGGUAACGGCUCACCUAGGCGACGCGCCCUAGCUGGUCUGAGAGGAUGACCAGCGAACCGGUAACGGGGACACGGUCCAGACUCCGACGGGAGGCAGCAGGGGGGAAUAGUGGACAAUGGGUGCAAGCCGGAUGCAGCAAUGCGGGGUGUAUGAAGAAGGCAUUCGGGUUGUAAAGUACUUUCAGCGGGGAGGCGUUACCCGCAGAAGAAGCACCGGCUAACUCCGGGCCAGCAGCCGCGGUAAUUC